UGAAAAUAAUAUUAUUAUUGUGAAAUCUGAUAAACUACAAAAAUAAGAUCCUUGGUUGAAAGAAAACCAACUGGGAAGAUUGGCUUGAGCUGUUACGAAUCCAAGUGAAGAGUUUAAGCCACUUGGAAAACUUAUCUGGAAGAGAAGUACUUGGCUCAUCCCUGUCCCUGGGCUUUGAAAUGAUGGAGUUCCUCAAAGAUCACCUCCUCGUUGCCAAUCAACUCCUGCUCAUCCUUCAAAUCUCAUCCUAUGCUUCGACUGCUCAGAGAAGCCUUUCCUGAUCUUCACUAAUCAAACCAUCUUCUCACAGACCCCAGAAGCAAAGGAUGUGGGACCAUGGAGAGAGGAAGAAUGAGAGGGAUCCUGUGUGAGAGGGGUAGGGCCAUGAUGGUCACGGACUGGUGCAUAUGAGAGGAAGAACCGUCCUUGUUCUUGGUCCAGAGGCUACAGCCCCAUCACAAUAUGAGCCUUCCUCCUCUUCACUCCUUUGACAGAGAUGCUUCUUUCAGGAUUUAGGUUUGAGUCGUUUUCAUCAGAACCUCCAAAGAGGCAGGAAAAUUUGCCAGGUGGGUCUUGCAGGAAUAGAAGAGGUGAACAAACAUGAGUACUGAAGACUUCCAAAAAUUUUCUUUGUAAAGGCUCAUGAAAUGUUUCAGACUCACAGGCUGAAAUGGUGAUUCCUGGAGACGCUGUAACAUCUGAGAUGUGAACACUGAGUCCUGGGCUUGGGUUGUCUCGCUCUUGGACUGAAUGUUCCAGGGUUCACAGUAUAGGGCCUCUGUGAGCAGUCACUGAUCCCCUAAGAAAAUCAUGUCCCAGCCUAAACGUCUUAGAGAUACAACCUAAGCAUUUAUUUAUUUUUUCUUUUGCUCUAGCAAGGCCUAUGUGUUGGCUCAGCAAUAAAUGGCUAUAAGGAUAGACCUACUUAAAAAAAAAUUGAGAAUGUUCCCAUCAUGAUCAAAAGGGGAAGAAGGGAUUGGGGAAGCAAUAGCAUAAUAAGCAUUAUAAGCAUCAUAGCCUGAUUUAGUUUCUAAUUUUGUAUAUUUAUUUUCCUGGGUAAUUAUAUAUUAUCCACUAGAUUGUAAGCCUCAUGAAGGCAAAGUUUUCUAUUUGUUUUGCUCUUGGCUGUGUUACCAACACCUUGAAAAGUACCUGGCCUAUAGCAGGUACUCAACAGAUGUUUGUUGAAUGAAUGAAUACUUUUCCCUACUCACAUAAUUAGAAAUAAAUGUCAGUAAGUAUUAUCUCUAAAUAGAGGGAUUGAGAAUAAAUUCUGUAUUUUCUUUAUGAUAUUCUACAUUUUUUAAUUUAAAAAAAUUUUUUUUAACUUUUAUUUAAUGAAUAUAAAUUUCCAAAGUACGAUUUAUGGAUUACAAUGGCUUCCCCCCAAUACCGUCCCUCCCACCCACAACCCUCCCCUUUCCCACUCCCUCUCCCCUUCCAUUCACAUCAAGAUUCAUUUUCGAUUAUCUUAAUAUACAGAAGAUCAGCUUAGUAUACAUUAAGUAAGGAUUUCAACAGUUUGCUCCCA